rnacentral:rRNA from 1 species
GACAGAGGGUGCUAGCGUUGUUCGGAAUUACUGGGCGUAAAGAGCGCGCAGGCGGUCGUUCAAGUCGCGUGUGAAAGCCCCCCGGCUCAACUGGGGAGGGUCACGCGAUACUGAUCGACUCGAAGGCAGGAGAGGGAAGUGGAAUUCCCGGUGUAGCGGUGAAAUGCGCAGAUAUCAGGAGGAACACCGGUGGCGAAGGCGGGUCUCUGGGCCGAAACUGACGCUGAGGAGCGAAAGCGUGGGGAGCAAACAGG